CCUGUGGACCGGAAAGCAGAUCUUCAGUGUCAUCCUCAGGCCUAGCGAUGACAAUCCAGUGAGGGCCAACCUGCGAACCAAGGGCAAGCAGUACUGUGGCAAAGGGGAAGAUCUCUGUGCCAAUGAUUCCUAUGUUACAAUCCAGAACAGUGAGUUGAUGAGUGGCAGCAUGGACAAAGGAACCCUAGGGUCAGGAUCCAAGAACAAUAUUUUUUACAUUUUGCUGCGAGACUGGGGGCAGAAUGAAGCUGCAGAUGCCAUGUCACGGCUCGCCAGGCUGGCUCCUGUCUACCUGUCUAACCGUGGUUUCUCAAUUGGGAUCGGUGAUGUCACACCUGGCCAAGGACUGCUAAAGGCCAAGUAUGAGUUGCUGAAUGCCGGCUACAAGAAGUGUGAUGAGUACAUCGAAGCCCUGAACACGGGCAAGCUGCAGCAGCAGCCUGGCUGUACUGCUGAGGAGACCCUGGAGCGAAGGCUUGUCAAAUCUCUUGAAGAUCUUUGCUCCCAGUAUGAUCUGACAGUCCGAAGCUCUACUGGCGAUAUUAUCCAGUUCAUUUAUGGAGGAGAUGGCUUAGAUCCUGCAGCUAUGGAGGGAAAAGAUGAACCUUUGGAGUUUAAAAGGGUUCUGGACAACAUCAAAGCAGUCUUCCCGUGUCCGAGUGAGCCUGCUCUCAGCAAAAACGAGCUGAUCCUGACCAC
rnacentral:sRNA from 1 species